UCCCAGUUCGGAUUGUAGUCUGCAACCCGACUACAUGAAGCCGGAAUCGCUAGUAAUCGCGGAUCAGAAUGCCGCGGUGAAUACGUUCCCGGGUCUUGUACACACCGCCCGUCACACCAUGGGAGCCGGUAAUGCCCGAAGUCUGUGGCCCAACCGAGAGGGGGGAGCAGCCGAAGGCAGGCCCGGUGACUGGGGUGAAGUCGUAACAAGGUAAC
rnacentral:rRNA from 1 species